GCGAGCUCGGGGAAGGCUGGGGUCACCUGGCCGAUCAGUGGCUCGAUGAGUGACUCCCUCCUGCCAGCGGAGACAGGCUCACACUCCUCAUUCCCACCCAAGAUCGGCCACACCCAUUGCCCGACCCCCACUCAGGUGCAGUGACGUGUAGGUGAAAACAGCAGCCUGAUGCUAACGAACUGUCUGCUUGCCACAAGCAGAAAGGCAGCCAGAAUUCCUGGUGGGAGCAAAACUGACCCUGGAAUAGCAGAGAUCUUUUGGGAUGGCCGGGAGACAGCACUGAGAACAUCCCAUCUGGGAAGAUCCAGAGAUGCCCCAGCUCAGCCACCCAGCUCUUCCAAGCAACAUCAAAGCAUAUCAACAUGAGACGUCAACAGCCUCUUGUGGGGAAAGAAGCUGCUUACAGUUUUCAAAGUAGAAUCGAUGGAACUCCAGUCCUUCCACCAGGUUCCCCAAGGCCUCAGGCUCAAAGGCAGUCAUUCCAGGAUCACACAUCUUCCUGAGGAAGCCAAAGCCCAGAGAGAGGGGGGAGAUUAUCUCAUUGUUUCAAACUGGAAGGUCUCCGGGAAUGUUGCUACAUAACAAUACAUUCAUCCUAGCUCUGGGGUCUCUUCUGGAAUAUGGAGUACAACAUCCCCUCUCUCUGUCCCAGCUCUCUCUCACUUCGCCUAAGAUCUGCUCCUGCUGAGAAUGACAGUUCUCUGACAGCAGGAACAACGCACCCCACUGUUUGCUCUGCAUGGCACAAGGGC